CAUCCUCAGCUGUUUAAGAUAAUUGGUGUGAAACCACCCAAGGGUAUUCUGUUGUAUGGACCUCCUGGAACUGGUAAGACUCUAAUUGCCCGUGCUGUGGCUAAUGAGACUGGGGCAUUCUUUUUCUGCAUCAAUGGACCAGAAAUCAUGUCGAAACUGGCUGGGGAGAGUGAAAGCAAUCUCAGGAAAGCUUUUCAGGAAGCAGAGAAGAAUGCACCAUCAAUCAUCUUUAUUGAUGAGAUCGAUUCAAUUGCUCCGAAGAGAGACAAGACAAAUGGAGAAGUUGAGAGGAGGAUUGUUUCCCAACUCCUGACACUCAUGGAUGGACUAAAAUCCCGUGCGCAUGUAAUUGUUAUCGGGGCUACAAAUCGUCCAAAUAGCAUUGAUCCAGCUCUCAGAAGGUUUGGAAGAUUUGAUAAGGAAAUAGAUAUUGGUGUGCCAGAUGAAGUUGGGCGUCUUGAGGUUCUGCGUAUUCAUACCAAGAACAUGAAGCUUGCUGAAGAAGUUAAUUUAGAAAAGAUAGCUAAGGACACACAUGGUUAUGUUGGUGCUGAUCUAGCUGCUUUGUGUACUGAGGCUGCACUUCAAUGCAUCAGAGAGAAGAUGGAUGUGAUUGACUUAGAAGAUGAGGAAAUAGAUGCCGAGAUACUUAAUUCAAUGGCAGUUACAAACGAGCACUUGCAGACGGCUCUUGGCUCAAGCAACCCAUCUGCUCUUCGUGAAACAGUUGUUGAGGUGCCGAAUGUUAGUUGGAAAGAUAUCGGAGGUCUCGAGAAUGUAAAGAGGGAACUUCAAGAGACGGUUCAAUAUCCAGUGGAGCAUCCUGAGAAAUUUGAGAAAUUUGGAAUGUCACCCUCAAAGGGAGUUCUUUUCUAUGGCCCUCCUGGAUGUGGCAAAACGCUUCUCGCCAAAGCUAUUGCCAAUGAGUGUCAAGCAAACUUCAUCAGUGUCAAGGGACCUGAAUUGCUUACAAUGUGGUUUGGAGAGAGCGAGGCCAAUGUACGAGAAAUUUUCGACAAGGCCCGUGGAUCUGCUCCAUGUGUCCUGUUCUUUGAUGAACUUGAUUCCAUUGCUACACAGAGAGGUAGCAGCGUAGGCGAUGCUGGGGGUGCUACUGAUAGGGUACUGAACCAACUCCUUACAGAAAUGGAUGGAAUGUCUGCAAAGAAAACUGUUUUCGUUAUCGGGGCCACCAACCGACCUGACAUUAUAGACCCUGCACUUCUACGUCCAGGCCGUCUGGAUCAGUUGAUUUACAUCCCUCUCCCUGACGAAGAAUCUCGCUAUCAAAUAUUCAGGGCUUGCUUGAGGAAAUCUCCUGUUUCCAAAGAUGUGGACAUCAGAGCCCUUGCCAAGUACACCCAAGGAUUUAGUGGUGCUGAUAUAACAGAAAUAUGCCAGCGUGCGUGCAAAUAUGCCAUUAGAGAAAACAUUGAGAAGGAUAUUGUGAGGGAUAGGAGGAAAAAUGAGAACCCUAAGGCUAUGGAGGAGGAUGUUGAUGAUGAAGUAGCAGAGAUCAAGGCAGCUCAUUUCGAGGAAUCAAUGAAGUAUGCUCGUAGGAGUGUUAGUGAUGCUGAUAUCCAUAAAUACCAGGCAUUUUCUCAGACAUUGCAGCAGUCAAGAGGGUUGGGAACAGAAUUCAGGUUUGCAGACAGAGCUGCUGGAUAUGACCCUUCUGCAACUGCUUCUGCUGGGGCUGAUGAAGAUGACUUAAACAGUUAGGAUCGUUUUGUUUCCCGUCUUUUUCGUGUUUGAAUUCCAGUUUUGCUUUAGAGAGAAAACUCGUAGAUGAAUUUUGAGCUGGUUGAUGACAGCAUAACAUAUGAUUUGGUUUGAUUGUGUUUUUUCUUUUAUUCUGUCUUUUCUUGUUGUAUUUGUAGCUAGAAAUACAAACUGAUUUUAUCUA